rnacentral:rRNA from 1 species
GAGUUCAAGAGUACGUGAAACCGUUCAGGGGUAAACCUGAGAAACCCGAAAGGUCGAAAGGGGAGAUUCAAUCGCGUGUCGGGUAUUCGGCGAGCCUGCGAGUGACGGACGACGUUCGCGUCGUCGUGCGCCGUCAGACGCCGUCCGGCCCCGAACGCGUGCACUUCUCCCCCAGUAGGACGUCGCGACCCGUUUGCCGCCGGCCUAAGGCCCGCGGUGGAGCCCGCGAGCAAUUUGUUCGCGGACCUGCGGUGACCCGGCCGGCACGACCGACGGUAUAAAUAGGGCGCGGGGCCGCCAUGUGUUGGCGUCCGGCCCGUCGCAAGCGCGGGAGGACAACCCGGCAUCCGGACCUGGCGCCGGAUUCGGGCCCGCUCGACUGCUGGCGACGGUGUCCUCGGACUGACCCCGUACACGCCCGUCGGCGACGCUAUAGCUUUGGGUACUUUCAGGACCCGUCUUGAA